rnacentral:misc_RNA from 1 species
GAUGAAGAACGUAGCGAAAUGCGAUAAGUAAUGUGAAUUGCAGAAUUCCGUGAAUCAUCGAAUCUUUGAACGCACAUUGCGCCCUCUGGUAUUCCGGGGGGCAUGCCUGUCCGAGCGUCAUUUGCAACCCUCAAGCCCGGCUUGUGUGAUGGGUGCCGUCCCCUACGGGACGCACCCCGAAGGCAAUGGCGGCGUCGCGGUUAUCCGAUCAGCCAAAGUGUAUGGGGCUUUGUCACUCACUUUACGGCCCGGACCGGCGCCAGUCCGAAUCAAUCUUUUUUCUAAAGUUGACCUCGGAUCAGGUAGGGAUACCCGCUGAACUUAAGCAUAUCAAUAAGCGGAGGA